rnacentral:rRNA from 1 species
UACGUAGGGGGCAAGCGUUGUCCGGAAUCAUUGGGCGUGAAGAGCGUGUAGGCGGCUCGAUAAGUCUGCUGUGAAAGUCCAGGGCUCAACCCUGGAAGGCCGGUGGAAACUGUCGGGCUAGAGUCCGGAAGAGGCGAGUGGAAUUCCCGGUGUAGCGGUGAAAUGCGCAGAUAUCGGGAGGAACACCAAUGGCGAAGGCAGCUCGCUGGGACGGUACUGACGCUGAGGAGCGAAAGCGUGGGGAGCGAACAGG